GACGAACGCUGGCGGCGUGCUUAACACAUGCAAGUCGAACGGUAAGGCCCUUCGGGGUACACGAGUGGCGAACGGGUGAGUAACACGUGGGUGAUCUGCCCUGCACUUCGGGAUAAGCCUGGGAAACUGGGUCUAAUACCGGAUAGGACCACUGCCUGCAUGGGUGGUGGUGGAAAGCUGUUGCGGUGUGGGAUGGGCUCGCGGCCUAUAAGCUUGUUGGUGGGGUGAUGUCCUACCAAGGCGACGACGGGUAGCCGGCCUGAGAGGGUGACCGGCCACACUGGGCCUGGGAUACGGCCCAGACUCCUACGGGAGGCAGCAGUGGGGAAUAUUGCACAAUGGGCGCAAGCCUGAUGCAGCGACGCCGCGUGAGGGAUGACGGCCUUCGGGUUGUAAACCUCUUUCAGCACCGACGAAGCGCAAGUGACGGUAGGUGCAGAAGAAGGACCGGCCAACUACGUGCCAGCAGCCGCGGUAA
rnacentral:rRNA from 1 species